rnacentral:tRNA from 1 species
CCCAUUUUAAGAAAAUCUUAAUCUAAUUGCCUUCCAAGCAAUUAGAUUAAGAUUUUCUUAAAAUGGGUA